ACAUGAAGCUGGAAUCGCUAGUAAUCGCGGAUCAGCAUGCCGCGGUGAAUACGUUCCCGGGCCUUGUACACACCGCCCGUCACACCACGAGAGUUUGUAACACCCGAAGUCGGUGGGGUAACCUUUUUGGAGCCAGCCGCCUAAGGUGGGACAGAUGAUUGGGGUGAAGUCGUAACAAGGUAGCCGUAUCGGAAGGUGCGGCUGGAUCACCUCCUUUCUAUGGAGA
rnacentral:rRNA from 2 species